rnacentral:rRNA from 1 species
GACGAACGCUGGCGGCGUGCUUAACACAUGCAAGUCGAACGGAAAGGCCUGCUUUCCCUUGUGGAUUGCGGGUACUCGAGUGGCGAACGGGUGAGUAACACGUGAGUGAUCUGCCCCCAACUUGGGUAUAAGCCUGGGAAACUGGGUCUAAUUCCCGAUAGGACUGCAGGGUGGUGCCUGUGGUGGAAAACGAUUUUCUAGUGGUUGGGGAUGAGCUCGCGGCCUAUCAGCUUGUUGGUGGGGUAAUGGCCUACCAAGGCGGCGACGGGUAGCCGGCUUGAGAGGGUGGACGGCCACAUUGGGACUGAGAUACGGCCCAGACUCCUACGGGAGGCAGCAGUGGGGAAUAUUGCACAAUGGGCGGAAGCCUGAUGCAGCGACGCCGCGUGGGGGAUGACGGCCUUCGGGUUGUAAACUCCUUUCGACCGCGAGGAAGCCACCUGGUUGGAAGGGUGGUGACGGUAGUGGUAGAAGAAGCACCGGCUAACUACGUG